GACGGAGGAUGCAGGCGUUAUCCGGAAUGAUUGGGCGUAAAGCGUCCGCAGGUGGCAGUUCAAGUCUGCUGUCAAAGACCGGGGCUUAACUUCGGAAAGGCAGUGGAAACUGAACAGCUAGAGUAUGGUAGGGGCAGAGGGAAUUCCUGGUGUAGCGGUGAAAUGCGUAGAGAUCAGGAAGAACACCGGUGGCGAAGGCGGUCUGCUGGGGUAAUGCUGACACUGAUGCGCGACAGCGUGGGGAGCAAACAGG
rnacentral:rRNA from 1 species